UUUUAAAUUUGGAAGUUCAUAACAUGAUCCUGAAGGCACUUUGGACAAUUUUUGAUUAAUGACAACUAAAAAUUUUCAAGGCAGAGCACUAAACACUUAAAAGCGGGGAAGAAAUAAUAAGAUUGUGAACACUUGCGGGGUAAAAUCAAAAAGCAAAUAUUCUGACAUUUACAGUUCUAAGGAUAAUUCUAUUUUAAGGAUGAUUCUGUCUGCAAGUAAAGUUAUUAGAUAUCUAUAUACUAUAUCAGAUAUCUUCAGCUAACGAAUGUCCACUAGAUAGAAGAUAGCUUAGCAUUCAGGCAAGUAGUUAAGGCUGGGGAUAGUUACCUGUUUAUUCAUUCAUUCACUAUAUAUUAUAGGGUGUUAACUGUGCCUCAGGCAUUGUAAUAGGAAC
rnacentral:lncRNA from 1 species